ACCUGUUUUGUUGGUGGUCAUUUAACCAUGCUUCCAUCGAUGGGUGCAUGGUUUAUGGCAGAGUGUGAUGCCAUGAACUCAUCAUGGUCAUGCAUGUGUGCAUGGUUAGAUGACCAUCAGCAAACAUGUU
rnacentral:pre_miRNA from 1 species